CUUUUGCGGAGCUUCUCGAGCUUGUGCGUUCCCACCGGUUCCCGUAUGAUAAAUCGCCACCGAAUUUUAAGGACACUAUAAUGAAAGACAAUCGGUGGGGCGAAAUAGGCCAGCAGUUGGGUGUCACAGGUGAGUUCAAAGGACGUGGCAUAGUCUCACUAGUGGCUGCUUUGUCGCAACUCUUGGCGGCGAAUUCUAUUUCGUUGUAAUGUUGUGGUUCAUGUCACAGUAUAGUGUUUCCCAGUCUUUUGUCUCUACGCUGUCUACGCUGACACUGUAUAGCCUUGAAGUUCAAUUUAUCGGUCUAAAAUGCCGUAUGCUCUACCAGGGGCAGUCGCGGCACAGAAGUUUGCUACAAUGAAGACGAAGUAGCGACAGAAAGGAAGAAGUAUAUGGAAUCAAAGAGGAGCGGUAGCGGCGCACAUGAAGUGAGAUACCCAAAGUGGGCCUUCUAUGGUGUACUGGGCAGUUUCUUAGGCGACAGGGACAACAACUCGUUCACAACGUUGACUAAUGUGCCAGGCACCUCUGUAGUUGGAACAGAAGGAGGGGGAGAAGGCUAAUUCCGCGUAGAGCGGUUGUUACAAAGAAUGGUGCAUGGUGCAGAAGAUGUGGACGAUCUUGACGGUGCGUCUUCAAGCCACAGCCCUACGCUCACUCAUUCGACAGGGGAGUCAGCAACGUCAUCAAGGGCAGUAGAGCAAAUGUCUUCACAAAAUUCUGGUGCUACUAUCCCACCAUUAUCUACAAAAAAUAAGUACAAAUUUUGUGGUGUUUGAAGUUGCUGAGAAAGCGAAGCGGCGAUGAAAUCGUAGAUUGCAUUCGCGAGAAUAUGCAGUCAAUGAAUGAAUGGAAGUCUCAACAGCAACAGGACUAUCUCUUCUACUUUUCCAUGAUGAUGGUCGAGAGGCUGAGGCUCCUCUCGCCAAUGAGACGCCUGCGCUUCAUAACUAAAGUACAAAGUGAUCUUUUAGAUGCUGAAAUUGAAGAGAACGAGAUGAAUGAAAGUUUCACUUGAUUUAUUAAGAUGGAUGUACUACAUGAAAGAGGCAUGUGAUUGUCUUUUCGUUUUUCCUUCGCGUGCCUCAUGUUUACAUUCGUAGUUACUCAUCAAAUUUCUUGUCCCUGCUUGUUGAUGUUCUGUGAACACGAUAUGUACCAACUUUCUCAAACUCGAAUAAAUGUUAUUUCAUCCA